rnacentral:lncRNA from 10 species
AAAAAUCUUGAAGCCUUGAAGCCACCUGCAGGGCUGUUGUUUUCCAAGGCCUUGCACUUACGUAAUUGACAUCUACAUAGACACACUCCUGGAACAUAUCGGGGGAGGCAGGCAUUCUGCUUGUUCUCAUUUGUUCUCAAAUUACAUGAUAAAAUACAUGUUUUGGACCUUUUAAACCAAAGGGAGUUAUUGAGCCCGCUUACAAAAUCCAUAACAUGUUAGCAGGACUUAUCUAGCUGCCUCCACAGAAUAGCCAAGCAACUCUACACCCGCUUUAGCCCCCACAAAAACAAGCGGAUUGCACUACAAAUAAUUUGCCUAUUUGGAAAAUGAAAGCUUCUCUGUAGUUUGAGGUCCUAUUUUUUCUUUAAGUUGUUACAGUCUUUUCAUGGUCCUUGAGGUCUAGGUUAGGUUUUUGUUUGGGGUAAUUUUUGUAUCCUAUGGAUACUAUUUAAUCUUUAGUAUUGAGUCAGUAUUUCUCACUUAGGCCUUAGGGGAAUACUGCCUGAAGUAUGUAGGGGGCAUGCGGAAUUCAGACGUGGCUUGGAAACUGCACCAUGGGUUCACCCAAGAAACAGACCAGAGGCAACACAUUCUAUCACUAAAACGUGUUCUCAGUUACACUUCCCUUCCAAAGAGGAGAAAAUAUACAAAGAGAAGAUGAAGAGACAACCAAAUCCUGUGAAUGAAACAUUGUGACCUCAAGUUUACAGAUGAAGACAAUAAACUUCAGAGAGUUCAAGUAUAUCACUCAAGCAGGAUUAUUUGUGCCCAUGAGGGAAACACGAAGGAUUGUCAGUAUUCAUUUGCUAUCAGAACUGCCUUUGAACUUCAGGGAAGCCGCCAUCUUGUUUUAGUUCACUCCUCUAAAGCACAGUGUCUGCAACAUGAAACACUAGUAAGACACAGUUAUCCAGAAAGAGCCCUAGAGAUGGAUAAGGAACCUGUUGGAAUGCUCUGAUAUUAAGAAAAAAAAAAUUAAAUUCAAAACCAAAAACAAGUCACAAGGGAGUUUUAUGCCUAUGUAAUCAGUGCAGACAGCCGUUAAGUAAAUGAAGAGGCAACUAACAAUGUCAGAAAAGAGACCGGGCGGUUCCGGCUGACACUACCCUAAUCUUCCAGGACCCAUUAAAUGGUAGUUUCAACGCAUUACCUACCAUAACAUCCUUGAAUAUCACUGAUUUUAUUUGCAGUAUCAAACAUUCCAUUUCAUGCCCCAUUAACAGUGGGAGCCUGGGCUUUUUGACGCAGCUAAACAUUUUACUAACUACCUGGACUAAGUAACCAAUUAACUUUUGGAGACAAUACGGCCAAUUAAGCGCGAAAAGAAAAUUUGGAAAACAGGCUUUUCCUAUCCGGAUGAACAGAGAUAAUUUGUGUCGAUGGAUGUUCUGUGAAGGCCUAUUGUGUCGAGCAGCGUAUUAAAACAUAAACAUGGCUCUUCCCCCAAGAAACUUACAUUUCAGUAAGGGAGCCUGGCCAAAAUGGAAAACUGCAAGGUUCAAAUCCUGGAGUGCAGAAGAAGCAUUAGGCAUUGACCCUGUGGCUUCCUAAUAGAUCCGCAAAGUGCUUUGUUCCUGGAAAUCAUCCGAUGAGUAGUUCAGUGCUAUUGUAUAUCUUGUUAGAGCAGCCGAAGUGCCACAAAAUGAACUAAAAUCUCCCUGCAGAGUUGCUGUAUCAUAUGCUGAGAACAUUCGGAACUUUCAACAAAUUCAUGUUACGAUCCUGGGUAGCCAUGGUUAAAUCUGUACAGGGGUUAAAUGAGAAAUAUGAGCCUGCUGUUAAGUGUCUUCUGAGAGUGACAAAGCUCUGGCCAUAAGGGAUGGGAGAGGAGGGAUUUCUUCUCAGCCUUCCAGCCCUUUCCAGCUGUAUCACAGACAGGAGACAUAAUGCAAAGGGGCUCAGACAUUGACUUCCUGGAUCUUUGCGGCCCCAGGCAUUGACCCCCUCUACCUGGCUUUUCCUACGCUGUAAAAUGAGGAUCCUCCUAUAUUAUGGAGUUUAUUGUGACAACUAAAUAGCUGAGAAGAAGGACAUCUCAUUUGUUUUAACUAUGCAGUUUCCUGUCUAUCUAUCUAUCUAUCCCAUCAAUCUAUCAAUCAAUCUAUCAAUCUGUCUAUCCCUAUCUAUCUAUCCAUCUAUCUAUCUAUAUCUGUCUAUAUCUAUCUAACAUUUAUCUAUCAUCUAUUCAUCUAUCAGCUAUCUUCUGUCUAUCAAUAUUUCAAUCAAUCUCUCUAUCCCUAUCAAUUAAUCUAUCUACCUACCUAUCAACUAUCCAUCUAUCUCUAUCAUCUAUCAUCUAUUCAUCUAUCAUUUAUCAUCUGUCAAUCCAUCUUCCUACUAUCUAUCAAAAGCAACACAUUUUCUUCCUGACUUUAAAAAUAUUUAAGUGGGCCGGGAGGAUGGCUCACGCCUGUAAUCCCAGCACUUUGGGAGGCCUAGGCGGGCGGAUCACGAGGUCAGGAGAUGGAGACCAUCCUGGCUAACAUGGUGAAACCCCGUCUCUACUAAAAAUACAAAAAAAAAAAAAAAUUAACCAGGCGUGGUGGAGGGCGCCUGUAGUCCCAGCUACUCGGGAGACUGAGGCAGGAGAAUGGGGAGAACCCGGGAGGCGGAGCUUGCAGUGAGCCGAGAUCAUGCCACUGCACUCCAGCCUGGGCGACAGAGCAAGACUCCAUCUCAAAAGAAACAAAAACAAAAACGUAAGUGAUACUCUGUCCACUCUUUUGAUUGAGGAGGUCUGAUUUUCAGGCUUUGGAUUUUAUUAUGUCUUCAAUAUAAUAAUUGUUCCAUGUAUCUCUCCUAAAUUGCCAUUUGAAAAACUGCUUUUCUGAAGUUUAAAGUGCACAUUUUGAUACAUCUUGACACAUAUAUACACCCAUGAAAUCAUCACCACAAUCAGGAUAGUAGAUCUAUCCAUUACCGCCAAGGUUUACUUGCACUCCUUUGAACUUUCUCCCCACUCCUCACCCCCUGCCUAUCCCCAAUCCUUAAGCAAUCACUGAUUUGCUUUCUGUCACUAUCAGUUAAUUUGAAUUUUUCAGAAAUGUAUAUAAAUAAAAUCAUUCGACGUGUAUGCUCUUUUUCUGUUCACCCGGUACAAUUUGAGAUUUAGCCAUGUUUUUGCAUGUGUCAAUAGUUUAUUUUUUUGUUGCUCAGUACUAAUCCAUUUUAUGGAUACAGAGAAAUGUAUUAAUGCAAUCCCAUAUUAAUAGGCAUUUGGGUUGUUUCCAGGUUUGGGCUGUUACAAAUAAAGCUGCUAUGAACAUUUUUGUGCAAGUCUUUUUAUGAGUAUAUUCCUUUAUUUCUUUUGGGUAAAUACCUAGAAGUGGGAUGGGUGUAUCACAUGGUACGUAAAUAUUUAAAUUUUUAAGAGAAUGCCAAACUGUUUUUCAAAGUAAUUGCACCAUUUUAUAUUCCCACCAGGAAUAUAUGAGAAUUCCAGUUCCUCUACAUACUCACAGACAUAUUGUAUGGUCAGU